rnacentral:rRNA from 1 species
UAAGGAAUAUUGGUCAAUGGGCGGAAGCCUGAACCAGCCAUGCCGCGUGCAGGAAGACGGCCCUACGGGUUGUAAACUGCUUUUGCAGGGGAAUAAACCUCGGUACGUGUACCGAGCUGAAUGUACUCUGAGAAUAAGGAUCGGCUAACUCCGUGCCAGCAGCCGCGGUAAUACGGAGGAUCCAAGCGUUAUCCGGAUUUAUUGGGUUUAAAGGGUGCGUAGGUGGCCUGUUAAGUCAGGGGUGAAAGACGGUAGCUUAACUAUCGCAGUGCCUUUGAUACUGACGGGCUUGAAUACACUAGAGGUAGGCGGAAUGUGACAAGUAGCGGUGAAAUGCAUAGAUAUGUCACAGAACACCAAUUGCGAAGGCAGCUUACUAUGGUGUUAUUGACACUGAGGCACGAAAGCGUGGGGAUCAAACAGGAUUAGAUACCCCCGUAGUCC